rnacentral:rRNA from 1 species
GUAGGGAAUAUUGCACAAUGGGCGAAAGCCUGAUGCAGCAACGCCGCGUGCACGAUGAAGACCUUCGGGUUGUAAAGUGCUUUUAAGAAGGACGAGGAAGGACGGUACUUCUAGAAUAAGGAUCGGCUAACUACGUGCCAGCAGCCGCGGUAAUACGUAGGAUCCGAGCGUUAUCCGAAUUUACUGGGCGUAAAGCGUGUGUAGGCGGUUUGAUAAGUUGGAUGUGAAAGCUCCCGGCUCAACUGGGAGAGGCCGUUCAAUACUGUCGAGCUAGAGGGCGACAGAGGGAGGUGGAAUUCCCGGUGUAGUGGUGAAAUGCGUAGAUAUCGGGAGGAACACCAGUGGCGAAAGCGGCCUCCUGGGUCGCACCUGACGCUCAGACGCGAAAGCUAGGGGAGCGAACGGGAUUAGAAACCCUAGUAGUCC